ACAGAAAUUCCUCUUUCUAUCCAAGCGGAAGAAAUCAUGUUCAGGACCUUUCCCCGAGGGCUCAAGGAAAGCACAUUAACAUGGCAACUCCCACUUUGCUUUAUUUGCAAGUUACCCUUGCAGGAGGAUGAGGUUGGAAUUGAGACAAGCUAUAAGUGAACUAACAGGCCAAAGCCUGGGACAUUAAGGGGUAGGCAAAGAUGCUGAGAGGAUAAUCCCAAAGAUGCAGCUCUCCAGCUGAUGAAGAUCAGAAAAGCCAGAUAAUCACUGAGAGAGGUUCUCUCACCUAGACAGAAGGUAAUUUCAGUGGCUGUAAGCACAAGGGUGCAGUGGUUACUCCAGUUCUGCCUGUCACCCUUGCCAGCGCUGACCUUCCCAGCACAGUGUUUUGGGAUGCUAGAGGAGGGGCUGAGGCCCUUUGAGUGACCUGAAAGGAUGAGCAGGAGGCCUGUCCAGGGCAGCAGUGGGAAAAGACACGUGCAGCGAGCCCUGAGCGUGGGGGAAGCAGAUCUGCAGCCUGUUGAAGACACAGGAGCCUCUGGAGCACAGGUGACCCCAGGACCUCUCCACACUGAGGCUGAAGGAGCUCUGGCCAGGCGGGACAGUGCCAGUGCCACAGCCAGGCCGGUGCCCAGCUCUGCCCUGCUCCUGCCUUGGGACACUCGGACGCUCGGACAGGUGGCCAUGAGGAGGAAAGCUGGGACUACUGAACUAUAACCUUCAUGCUGCUCUAUAGCUGUCAGGAGAACAUUAUCUGGGAAAACACUCAGGAAAAUUGAUCAGAGACAGGAGCUGGUAUAAUUUGACACCUCUGUCUUCUGCAGGGCACUUGGACUUUCCCAAGCAGGUCUCUGGGGAAUGAAGAAAGACUCUGGCUGUGGCUGCUUUUAUGGGUUGCUAGCCUUCCUGUGAUUGGGUCCUGCGCUGUGGAAAGCUGUGGAUUCAGUGAAGGUGUUUUAGGAAUAUACACUGAGAAGAAGAAGAAGAAGAAGAAGAAGAAGAAGAAGAAGAACAAGAACAAGAACAAGAACAAGAACAAGAACAAGAACAAGAACAAGUAGUAAGCUUUUUGAAAAAUUAACCAGUGCUGCCACCACAGAUUACCAGUACAGUGAUGUUUUAAUGAUACUCCUUUACCAUCCUCCACAAGA